CAAAAAGUAACAGGUUGCCAGUUGCCACUUGAUGGAAUCAACGGUGAAGAGGGCGAGGGUUUGUAGAGUCACUGUAAAAGUGGAACUGUAGAGCGGAAGCAAAUCCAAUAUCUUAUCUCAUCAUCGUCAUCAUCAUAUACCCUUUAUUCAGAAUCAUUCAAAGAAAAGUAACAACAGUGUUGAGAAAAAUAAAGAGAAAGGAAGAGAUUAAGCAGACAUGGAUGGGUUACAGGUAGCUCUUCCGAUUGUGGGAGUUCUUGCGGCGGCAGCUGUGACUUUCUAUGCAGUGAGCUUUUCUGAGCUUAAAGAGAAAUCGUUUAGAGAUUUGGAAGAAUCUGAAUAUGAAGAUGGAGUUUAUAGGCCAUCCCCUAGCUCCCGAGAGAGGCGUGCCAGAAGACAAGCUAACAAAAAUAAUAAAAAAUGAACCUUAUUAUUAAGCUUGUGUUUAGAUAGAGUUUAGUGUUUUUAAUCAGAAACAAAACUGGAUUUUCAACAUAAAACAAUCUCAAAGGUUAUUGUAUCGAAACAAAGUUUAAAUCGACUCUGCUUUUCCCGAGUUCAUAGUGUGGUGGAAUUGGUUUUGUUUUUAGGGAUUUUCUUUUUCGAAUGAUAUGUAGUUGUCUAUUUAGUUUGGUUGCAUUUCCUUUUCUUUCGUGUUUUGUUGAUUAAUUUGUAUUUAUUUUUGCUGCCGUAAUAAACUCUUGGUUCUGCUCAGCGCGAAAAGCAAUGAUAUUAUCUGGUGGUAAGUGAUGUAAUUUUUUUAUAUUGCAGACUUUGUACUUGUUAAUGAUACGCAGAGUGCAGAAUAAUA
rnacentral:sRNA from 1 species